GAGAGAUGAGGAAAGCAUUCCAGUCUGAUGCAAUUAUGAAGACUGUCAGAUCCAACUCUGAUCUCCCCGUAUUA